rnacentral:tRNA from 1 species
GGGGAUUUAGCUCAGUGGUAGAGCGCUUGCCUACCAAGCACAAGGCCCUGGGUUCGGUUCCCAGCUCCG